CCUACGGGGGGCAGCAGUGGGGAAUAUUGCACAAUGGGGGAAACCCUGAUGCAGCGACGCCGCGUGAAGGAAGAAGGUUUUAGGAUCGUAAACUUCUAUCAGCAGGGAAGAAGAAAGUGACAGUACCUGACUAAGAAGCCCCGGCUAACUACGUGCCAGCAGCCGCGGGAAUACGUAGGGGGCAAGCGUUUUCCGGAAUCAAUGAGUGUAAUGGGUCCGUAGGCGGUAGGGCAAGUCAGAUGUGAAAGCCCGGGGAUCAACACCGGGAUUGCAUUUGAAACUGUCUUACUAGAGUGCAGGAGAGGACAGCGGAAUUCCUAGUGUAGCGGUGAAAUGCGUAGAUAUUAGGAAGAACACCAGUGGCGAAGGCGGCUUUCUGAACUGUAACUGACGCUGAGGCACGAAAGCAUGGGGAGCGAACAGGAUUAGAUACCCUUGUAGUC
rnacentral:rRNA from 1 species